rnacentral:rRNA from 1 species
UACGGAGGGGGCUAGCGUUGUUCGGAAUUACUGGGCGUAAAGCGCACGUAGGCGGCUUUGUAAGUCAGGGGUGAAUCCUGGAGCUCAACUCCAGAACUGCCUUUGAUACUGAAGAUCUUGAGUCCGGGAGAGGUGAGUGGAACUGCGAGUGUAGAGGUGAAAUUCGUAGAUAUUCGCAAGAACACCAGUGGCGAAGGCGGCUCACUGGCCCGGUACUGACGCUGAGGCACGAAAGCGUGGGGAGCAAACAGG